GUGCUUGUGUGUGUGUGAGUGUGUGUGUGUGAAACCAGCUGCCUUGAGCUCCUGCUGCCUUCCUUUCCCUGCCAUCAUGCUGUGUUCUCCUAAUCUAGAAUAAGCCCAUUUCCCCUUAUGUUUCAUUUGUCUAUGUUUUAUUACAACAGGAAAAGAAACGAAGAUAACUUCUCUCCCCAGUGAUUAUUUGAUUAAGUGUAGCACAUUCAGAUUGGUCUCCUUCCAGAUCCUUGUUUGUUUUGAUGUUCAAAUCCGUUGAGACUUGGCCUUGGAAAACUGGCUGUAUUCUGACAUGUUCUCACCAUUCUUCGGGUGUUUCUUUACUUCCCCAAACAACAGGGUUUUCUAGGUUCACUUUGCACUCUUUGUGGUCCAGUCAUGGAGUCGACCACUCUCUCCAGAUGAGGACGUGGUUUUCUAAAUGUGGGUGAGGCCAUCUCGGCCUCGAGAUCUCUCCUAAGUCACGCCAUCAAACCCAAACGUAUAGCAUUGUAGGAGGCUUAUCCGGGGCCUUUCUCCCUUUCAAUGGAUAUGAAACCAUGUACGAAAAGCCAGUCAUACAAUGAGAUUUAUGAAGCAAGACUUUUCAAAAGGAAGUAAAAUCUUGACUGAGAAGGAGGAAACAGCCAUACCAGCCACAGAAGUGUCUUGGUGUGCCCAUGAAAGCUUGGCAUCAGCGUCUGGCUGGAUUAAGAAGGGAAUUGCACCAGAGGGAGAUGCUUGGCACAGAAACUUCAAGAACUUUGAUCUGCUGGCAAAAGCAGCCACCACAGCAAAGAUCACUCAGCCACAUUGGAAGAGUAGACAGCCUCAGGACACGGCACCCUGACCGGACCCAGCAGGACUGAUCUGGACAGAGGAAGCCAUAGGGCCAGUGUCAACUGCACUUUGAUAUUCUCUGGGGAUGUAUUUUAGUUUUUAGGUCAGCUGGGGCCCCGCAGUUAGAAGGACAUUGCAGUUUAAGUACCCUAAAGUCAUUCCCCCACUCCUCGGCUCUCACUCCAUGGUGAUCCUAUUUAGUAUGUCAUAGGGGCGCUGCUGCUCCCGGGGACAGGGGAGGGAAAGGCUACAGAGGUCCAGGAGGUUGGGUACGAGUGAUUGCAUGCAGAGUUAAACACUGUGUGGCCUUGGGAGGUGUGAUGGGGGAUUGGGAGCAACUGAGGCACAGGAUUUCCACCCAUGAAUGGUUGGUGAAACAGCAGCUGUUUUAUUAUUAAAACAUGUGUAAUCGUUAGUGCCAAUUAUCUGCCUUCCCAGACCUAGAACCAUUUAGGGGACAAGCCUCUGGGAGCACCUGCGAGGGGUGUCUAUGUGCGUGCGCAUGUGUGCCUCUGUGAGAGCCUGCUUGGGUGCAGAGGCCAGAGUACAGCCUGUGGGAGUCGGUUUUCUCCUUGCGCCACGCGGGUCCCAGGAAUGAAACCUGGGUUCUCAGUCUUUGCCGAAGCCCACAGAGCAAUUUCAGCAGCUCUUGUCCCAUCCCUACAUCCUCGCCUGGAGAAGCACACUCACGCAAGGGUAGGUAUGCCCAAGAAUGUCCACUGCAGCUUUGGCCGCAGCCAACCAGUUGGAAGCAACCAGAAAUGCUCAGCAUUGUGGGAGUGUGUCAAUACCCUGCAUCACACCCUUGCCAUGACAGUUGUGCAGCCGUGGACAGCAACAGCAUGCAUGCCCAUCUCUGUUGUGCCGAUGUGAAGUCUCUCCCUGAUACGGGACUGGGCAAAAAUAUGAGAAGAUAACCAGGGAGGGUAAUAACACUGCUGUAAAUGAAAACAAAACAAAACUGUGACUUUAAAAAGAAUUAUCACCCCCCCCCACACCUCUUGUGAGUACACAAAUAGUAUGUAAAUGCCCAGGAAACAUGCAGAAGCCUUCAGAACAAUUGGAAGUCAAGGUUCCCUGGGGAGAGGAAAGAGUCCUGAGAGUAAGAGUAAGGUGAGCUUGGUAGGGUUUCCUCUUUAUCUGCACUGUCCUGACUUGGUUAUGGAAACUCUCACGCAAACACAAAAAUGGGACACUAUAAUAACCCCCCCCAGUACUGUCACCCACACAUUCCCUCUUCCUGACUAUAAGCACAGCUGACAUUGUAUUCCAUUCAUAAAUAUUUCGGCAAUCACCUCUAUGAGAUAAGAGCCUGUAAAGAAAGACAAAAGCACAGGGCCAAGACCACAUCUAGAAUCGUCAAUGGCAGCUCCUCAGGAUUGUCAAACACCCAGCCCAUGCUCAUAUUUCUGUCUUGUAUCCACAGCUGAUUCCCCCGAGUGUGGAGCAAUCAGGUCCAAUGUGUUGCCGUUGGUCAACGUGAGCUGUGUCUUCCUGUUCCAUUUGGUAGUGUAUCUUUAAGAGAAGCUGCUGGAAGCCACUCUACUGAGCCAAAGGUAUUUGUGUUUUCCCUUGUAGCCCACGACCCAUCUUCAGGACCGAUGAAUCUGGUCUCACCACCAUCCAGUUCCAGAGCAGUAUUGAUUUGACACAACGGUACAGUACCGACUGCCAUCCCAGCGCCCAUGUGACACAGCACCGACUGCUGCUCCUGUCCCCUCUUCUUAUCUUUGAGAAUACUUUGCUCUUAAGCACUCAAAGAGCAAACCUAGUUCCCACCAGGAUGUCAAGUGUGUCUCGUGGUGGGGAACUACAGUGAUCUCUUUUUACUCUGGGUUUGUUUGCCCUAUAAGGAAUGGUGAUGGUUCAUUCUACAGCAGGGAUGAUCCUUGAAAACCCUAAGAAGAAGGUAGUCACAAAAGACCAUCUGUUGCAUGACUCCAGUGAGCUGAGACGUCUGCAAGCCCAUUCAGAAAACCAGAGAGCGGGUCAGUGUUUGCCAGGACCGGAGGCGAGGAAGGAAGUGAGCCCCUGAAUACUGCUGGCGCGUAUGCUUUACGGGAAGCAACCAAAGAAUUCUAAAACUGGGUUGCCCAGAUUUGUUUGCUAAAAAUCCUAGCAUUUGUUUUUUAAAAAAAUAAUUUGGUUAACUUUAUUUUAUGUGCGUUGGUGUGAAGGUAUCAGAUCCGCUGGAACUGGAGUUACAGAGAUGUGAGCUGCCAUGUAGGUGCUGGAAAUUGAACCUGGGUCCUCUGGAAGAGCAUCCAGUGCUCUUAACCACUGAGCCAUCCCUCCAGCCCAAGUCCUUGCAUUUUGAAUAGGUGACGAAUAUGGUAGAACAGCAGAGGUUGGGCUGGGGAGACCGUUCAGUCACUGAGGUGCUCGCCUUGCAAGCGUGUGGGCAUGAUUUUAAUCCACAUGAUGAAAGCCAGCCAUGCCCACUUGUAAUUCCAGUGUUGGGGAUGCAGAGACAAACGGAGCUUGCUGGUGGUCAGCCUAGCCUACUUGGUGGGUUCCAGCUCAACGAGAGACUGUCUCACCAAGGAACUACACCAAGGCUGUCCUCUGACCUCCACAUCCAUGGGCAUGCAUGUACACAAACAUACACAUGGAAAAUUAGAAGCUAAAUCCUUUGCUUGGAACCCUGCACAGGCUCAUUGGUUUUCCUGAGUGGGACCUAUAUCCUCAUCAUGUGCCAUGCCCCAUAAGGUGGUCUGACCUCAAGUUUCUGCCCUAACUGCCUCUUCCCUCAUCUACCGGCCUCCACGCUGUACCUAUUCUUCACACAUCUGACCCCAGGACCUUUCUCCCGCCUGUUCCCUGUGCUAGAGAAGCUCCUUCCUCAGACACCCCCACCUACAGAGCUCCUAUAUCUGGCAGGUCCCCUAGUCCCAGGCUCCACCUGGCUCUUUGUACCAAGUUACCCUUACUGCACACACACACACACACACACACACACACACGCACACGCACACGCACACGCGCGUGCGCACACACACACACACACACACACACCUUGCUGCCUCCUAACACAGCAUGCGAUUUGUUUAUUGUAAUGUUGUCUGGUUAUUUUAGUGAAACACACCUCCUCCACAGGAUGCAGGGUCCUCUUGGUGCUGAUCACUCUGUACCCCAUUUCCUAGAAAUAUGCCAAACAUCCAGCAAGGGCCUCGACAAAUCCUCGUAGAAUUGGGACCAUAGCUGAAUAGGGCAACAUUGUCAUUUAAUCCCAGUUUCCUUCUUCCUAGGGCAGUGGCUACUGUGGAGGCUUUAAACCACAGGACCUUGUCUGCCAGAUGACCCUGUGGGCACAGAACCAGAGGAGGAGGCUGCCAGGCUGUUUCAUUCUCUGGCCAAGGAAGAGGCCCAGCCAAGGUCCAUCUGCAUCCAUCACUCUUACCCAUCUCUGAGGGUUGGCAUCUCAGAAUAUCUUUCCAGAAUUUUCUUUUCAUGUACGCAUCUUAUAAAAUUAAAAACUGGAUUAUUUUGUUUGUG